rnacentral:rRNA from 1 species
UACAGAGGGGGCAAGCGUUGUUCGGAAUUACUGGGGCGUAAAGGGCGCGUAGGCGGCCUGCUAAGUCGAACGUGAAAUCCCUGGGCUCAACCCAGGAACUGCGUCCGAUACUGGUUGGCUUGAAUCCGGGAGAGGGAUGUGGAAUUCCAGGUGUAGCGGUGAAAUGCGUAGAUAUCUGGAGGAACAUCGGUGGCGAAGGCGGCAUCCUGGACCGGUAUUGACGCUGAGGCGCGAAAGCCAGGGGAGCAAACGGG